rnacentral:lncRNA from 1 species
AUUAAUUAAAUUUAUUGAUUCCUUUUGCAUUAAAACAACUUCAAUCACGUGAUUUCCGUUAUAUCUUAACAGCACUAAACAAAAUUCAAAUAUCAUUUUUUUCCAUUAAUGAGUUCAUCCAAAAAAAAUUUAGCAAAAUUAAAAUCUGCUAAACCUUUUUCUGAUUAAUUUGAUCUAAUUCAACCGUGUUUUUGAAAUUCAAUCAUUCCUGUUGUUGAAUCAAAU